rnacentral:rRNA from 1 species
GUAGGGUGCGAGCGUUAAUCGGAAUUACUGGGCGUAAAGCGUGCGCAGGCGGGUUCGCUAAGACCGAUGUGAAAUCCCCGGGGCUUAACCUGGGAACUGCAUUGGUGACUGGCGGGCUAGAGUAUGGCAGAGGGGGGUAGAAUUCCACGUGUAGCAGUGAAAUGCGUAGAGAUGUGGAGGAAUACCGACGGCGAAGGCAGCCCCCUGGGCCAAUACUGACGCUCAUGCACGAAAGCGUGGGGAGCAAACAGGAUUAGAUACCCUGGUAGUCCACGCCCUAAACGAUGUCAACUAGUUGUCGGGUCUUCAUUGACUUGGUAACGUAGCUAACGCGUGAAGUUGACCGCCUGGGGAGUACGGUCGCAAAGAUUA